rnacentral:rRNA from 1 species
GAUGAACGCUGGCGGCGUGCCUAAUACAUGCAAGUCGAGCGAACGGACGAGAAGCUUGCUUCUCUGAUGUUAGCGGCGGACGGGUGAGUAACACGUGGAUAACCUACCUAUAAGACUGGGAUAACUUCGGGAAACCGGAGCUAAUACCGGAUAAUAUUUUGAACCGCAUGGUUCAAAAGUGAAAGACGGUCUUGCUGUCACUUAUAGAUGGAUCCGCGCUGCAUUAGCUAGUUGGUAAGGUAACGGCUUACCAAGGCAACGAUGCAUAGCCGACCUGAGAGGGUGAUCGGCCACACUGGAACUGAGACACGGUCCAGACUCCUACGGGAGGCAGCAGUAGGGAAUCUUCCGCAAUGGGCGAAAGCCUGACGGAGCAAAGCCGCGUGAGUGAUGAAGGUCUUCGGAUCGUAAAACUCUGUUAUUAGGGAAGAACAUAUGUGUAAGCAACUGUGCACAUCUUGACGGUACCUAAUCAGAAAGCCACGGCUAACUACGUG